rnacentral:rRNA from 1 species
AACGAACGCUGGCGGCGUGCCUAACACAUGCAAGUCGAACGGAAUGAGGGGGCUUGCUCCUUCAUUUAGUGGCGCACGGGUGAGUAACGCGUAGAUAAUCUGCCUGAUGAUCUGGGAUAACACUUCGAAAGAGGUGCUAAUACCGGAUAAGCCCACGGGUUCUUUGGAAUCUGCGGGAAAAGGGGGGGACCUUCGGGCCUUCUGUCAUCAGAUGAGUCUGCGUACCAUUAGCUAGUUGGUAGGGUAAAGGCCUACCAAGGCGACGAUGGUUACAUGGUCUGAGAGCAUGAUCAGCCACACUGGAACUAGGACACGGUCCAGACUCCUACGGGAGGUAGCAGGUGGGAAUUUUUCGCAAGGGGGUAAAGCCUGACACAGCCACGCCGCGUGAGUGAUGAAGGCUUUCGGGUCGUAAAGCUCUGUCAAUGGGAAAGAAGUGUAUUUGGGCUAAUAUCCUUAAUACUUGACGGUACCCAUAAAGGAAGCACCGGCUAACUCCGUGCCAGCAGCCGCCGUAAGAC